GGUGAGUGCCUUAUUCAGCUAACAAAUUGUUCUAGAUUUGAAGAAAAUUUGUGAAACAAUAUUAUCAAUCCAAAAAAGAUGGCGGAGACUGUAAAGAAAUCUAGAAUAGUAAGUGAUGAAGAAGAAAAUCUCGAAGAAGCUUUACUGGAAGAGUUUAACAUGAGACUAAAAAA
rnacentral:lncRNA from 1 species